rnacentral:rRNA from 1 species
GACGAACGCUGGCGGCGUGCUUAACACAUGCAAGUCGAACGGGCUGCCUGGUUUUCGGAUCGGGUGGUGAGUGGCGAACGGGUGAGUAACACGUGAGUAACCUGCCCCUCUCUUUGGAAUAACGUCGGGAAAUCGGCGCUAAUACCGGGUAUUCUGGCUUCCUCGCAUGGGGUUGUUGGGAAAGGUUUUUUCUGGUGGGGGAUGGGCUCGCGGCCUAUCAGCUUGUUGGUGGGGUGAUGGCCUACCAAGGCGGUGACGGGUAGCCGGCCUGAGAGGGUGUCCGGCCACACUGGGACUGAGACACGGCCCAGACUCCUACGGGAGGCAGCAGUGGGGAAUAUUGCACAAUGGGCGGAAGCCUGAUGCAGCGACGCCGCGUGGGGGAUGACGGCCUUCGGGUUGUAAACCUCUUUCAGUGCAGAACAAGGCUCUUUGUGGGUUGAGGGUAUGCGCAGAAGAAGCGCCGGCUAACUACGUG